CUAGUAAUGGCAGGUCAGCAUACUGCCGUGAAUACGUUCCCGGGCCCUUGUACACACCGCCCGUCACACCAUGAGAGUUGGAAAUACCCGAAGCCUGUGAGCUAACAGUAAUGAGGCAGCAGUCGAAGGUAGAGCCAAUGAUUGGGGUGAAGUCGUAACAAGGUAAC
rnacentral:rRNA from 1 species